rnacentral:rRNA from 1 species
UGGGGAAUUUUCCGCAAUGGGCGAAAGCCUGACGGAGCAAUACCGCGUGAGGGAGGAAGGCUCUUGGGUUGUAAACCUCUUUUCUCAGGGAAUAAGUUCUGAAGGUACCUGAGGAAUCAGCAUCGGCUAACUCCGUGCCAGUAGCCGCGGUAAUACGGAGGAUGCAAGCGUUAUCCGGAAUGAUUGGGCGUAAAGCGUCCGCAGGUGGCUGUGUAAGUCUGCUGUUAAAGAGCAAAGCUCAACUUUGUA